rnacentral:rRNA from 1 species
AGUGAACGCUGGCGGUAGGCCUAACACAUGCAAGUCGAACGGCAGCACAGUAAGAGCUUGCUCUUACGGGUGGCGAGUGGCGGACGGGUGAGGAAUACAUCGGAAUCUACUUUUUCGUGGGGGAUAACGUAGGGAAACUUACGCUAAUACCGCAUACGACCUACGGGUGAAAGCAGGGGAUCUUCGGACCUUGCGCGAUUGAAUGAGCCGAUGUCGGAUUAGCUAGUUGGCGGGGUAAAGGCCCACCAAGGCGACGAUCCGUAGCUGGUCUGAGAGGAUGAUCAGCCACACUGGAACUGAGACGCAGUCCAGACUCCUACGGGAGGCAGCAGUGGGGAAUAUUGGACAAUGGGCGCAAGCCUGAUCCAGCCAUACCGCGUGGGUGAAGAAGGCCUUCGGGUUGUAAAGCCCUUUUGUUGGGAAAGAAAAGCAGCAGGUUAAUACCCCGCUGUUCUGACGGUACCCAAAGAAUAAGCACCGGCUAACUUCGUG